UACGAAGGGGCUAGCGUUGCUCGGAAUCACUGGGCGUAAAGGGUGCGUAGGCGGGUCUUUAAGUCAGGGUGAAAUCCUGGAGCUCAACUCCAGAACUGCCUUUGAUACUGAAGAUCUUGAGUUCGGAGAGGUGAGUGGAACUGCGAGUGUAGAGGUGAAAUUCGUAGAUAUUCGCAAGAACACCAGUGGCGAAGGCGGCUCACUGGCCCGAUACUGACGCUGAUGCACGAAAGCGUGGGGAGCAAACAGG
rnacentral:rRNA from 1 species